AACGAACGUUAGCGGCGCGCCUAACACAUGCAAGUCGCACGAGAAAGGGCUUCGGCCCCGGUAAAGUGGCGCACGGGUGAGUAUCACGUAGGUAAUCUGCCCUUGAGCGGUGGAUAACGCUCCGAAAGGAGCGCUAAUACGCCAUGAGACCACGGCCUCUUCGGAGGCUGCGGCCAAAGCGGGCCUCUUCAUGAAAGCUCGCACUCGAGGAUGAGCCUGCGGCCCAUCAGGUAGUUGGUGGGGUAAUGGCCUACCAAGCCUAAGACGGGUAGCUGGUCUGAGAGGACGGUCAGCCACACUGGAACUGAGACACGGUCCAGACUCCUACGGGAGGCAGCAGUGGGGAAUCUUGCGCAAUGGCGAAAGCCUGACGCAGCGACGCCGCGUGAGCGAUGAAGGCCUUCGGGUUGUAAAGCUCUGUGGGGAGGAACGAAUAAGGGCUGGCUAAUAUCCAGUCCGAUGACGGUACCUCCUUAGCAAGCACCGGCUAACUCUGUGCCAGCAGCCGCGGUAA
rnacentral:rRNA from 1 species